AUCGAACGCUGGCGGCAUGCCUAAUACAUGCAAGUCGAACGAGUGGCGGACGGGUGUGUAAUGUAUGGGAAUCUAGCUUAUGGAGGGGGAUAACUACGGGAAACUGUAGCUAAUACCGCGUACCAUAGGAUGAGCCCAAGUGGGAUUAGGUAGUUGGUGAGUUAAAGGCUCACCGAGCCGACGAUCUCUAGCUGGUCUGAGAGGGUGACCGGCCACACUGGGACUGAGACACGGCCCAGACUCCUACGGGAGGCAGCAGUGGGGAAUCUUGCGCAAUGGGGGCAACCUGACGCAGCCAUGCCGCGUGAAUGAAGAAGGCCUUCGGGUUGUAAAGUUCUUUCGGUAGAGAGGCGUUAACUUCCGAAGAAGCAACGGCUAACUCCGUGCCAGCAGCCGCGGUAAUAC
rnacentral:rRNA from 1 species